GUGUUUGCUUCGGCAGCACGUGUACUAAAAUUAGAAUGAUACAGACAAGACAAGCAUGGCCCCUGCGCAAGGAUGACAUGCAAAUUUGUGACGUGUUCCAUAUUUUU